rnacentral:rRNA from 81 species
CUACGCUGCGAUAAGCCGUGGGGAGCUGCGAAGAAGCUUUGAUCCACGGAUUUCCGAAUGGGGAAACCCACCUUCGAUAGCCGGAACUCCAAGACCUUGUGUUUUGGGGUUCGACCAGAAAUGGAAGAAAUCAGACCGCGAGGUUUUGGAUUUCCGGUUAUCAAGAGAAGGUAUGAGACUUCCGAAUAAAAUAGGAGGUUUUAAGCAAACCCAGGGAACUGAAACAUCUAAGUACCUGGAGGAAAGGACAUCAAUCGAGACUCCGUUAGUAGUGGCGAGCGAACGCGGACCAGGCCAGUGAUACAUCAAAGACAAUCGGAACCUGUCAGGAAAGCAGGGCCUCAGAGGGUGAUAGCCCCGUACGAGUAAUGCGAUGAUGUAUCCACGAGUAAGGCGGGACACGUGUAAUCCUGUCUGAACACGGGGGGACCACCCUCCAAGCCUAAGUACUCCUCAGCGACCGAUAGU